AUGGAUGGAAAUGCAGCAGCUGAUGGGGGUGAGCCAACCUACGAUCCAAUGAAAGAUCCAACAAGGAAGCCACAACGGUCAAAUGAUCCGGGAUGAAACUAUGGAUAUUGGUCUGAGCCUCCAAAUCGGGAUGUUGUUGUGUGCGCUCUUUGUGGCAAGAUAACUUCUGGAGGGAUCAAGAGGCAUAAAGAGCAUCUUGCGGGCGUCGGAGGAGAUGCAAUUGGU
rnacentral:rRNA from 1 species